rnacentral:rRNA from 1 species
UACGUAGGUGGCAAGCGUUGUCCGGAUUUAUUGGGCUUAAAGGGUGCGUAGGCGGCUCUAUAAGUCAGUUGUGAAAUCCGGCAGCUUAACUGUCGAGGUGCAAUUGAUACUGCAGGACUUGAGUACAGACGAGGUAGGCGGAAUUGACGGUGUAGCGGUGAAAUGCUUAGAUAUCGGCAAGAACACCGAUAGCGAAGGCAGCUUACUAGACUGUAACUGACGCUGAUGCACGAAAGUGUGGGGAGCAAACAGG